rnacentral:rRNA from 1 species
AUUCCAGCUGAUCCUGCUGGCGGGUACUGCUAUCGGAAUUCGACUUAACCAUGCAAGUCUUAGAGCUGCGGCUAUGAGCAGCUCUGGCAAACGGCUCAGUAACACGUAGUUAAUCUAACCUGAAGAGGUGCAAAACCCGGGAAACUGGGCAUAAUGCAUCUUAGGCGGGGGGUAUUGGAAAAUUCCCCUGUUCAAAGGAGCUGCAAUUCAUGCUUUUGCAGUUUGCUUCAGGAUGGGACUGCGUCGGAUUAGGUAGUUGGCGGGGUAAAUGCCCACCAAGCCUAAGAUCCGUACGGGCCUUGAAAGAGGGAGCCCGGAGAAGGGAACUGAGAUAAGGUCCCUAGCCCUACGGGGUGCAGCAGGUGCGAAAACUCUGCAAUGCACGCAAGUGCGACAGGGGGAUUCCGAGUGCUUGCUCUGCAAGCUUUUGCAAAGUCUAGAUAGCUUUGCGAAUAAGUGGGGGGUAAGACACGUGCCAGCCGCCGCGGUAAAACGUGCUCCACAAGUGGUACUCACUCAUAUUGGGCCUAAAGCGUUUGUAGCUGGCCUGAAAAGUCGUUGGUGAAAUCUGCCUGCUUAACAGUCAGAAUUGCCAAUGAUACUUUCAGGCUAGAGGCCGGAAGAGGCUGAGGGAAUUUCCGGGGUAGCGGUGAAAUGCUAUGAUCCUGGAAGGACCACCAGUAGCAAAGGCGCUCAGCCAGGACGGACCUGACAGUGAGAAACGAAAGCUGGGGGAGCGACCCGGAUUAGAUACCCGGUUAGUCCCAGCCGUAAACGAUGCAGACUAGGUGUUCUAGCAUCCACGAGAUGCAGGAGUGCCGUAGCGAAGGCGUUAAGUCUGCCGCCUGGGAAGUACGCUCGCAAGAGUGAAACUUAAUGGAAUUGGCGGGGGCGCACCACAAGGGGUGGAGGCUGCGGUUCAAUUGAAUAAAACGCCAGAAACCUCACCAAGGGCGACAGCAGAAUGAUGGUCAUCCUAAAGGGCUUACCUGACACGCUGAGAGGUGUUGUAUGGUCAUCGUCAGCUCGUACUAUGAAGUGUCCUGUUAACUCAGGUAACGGGCGAGACCCACAUCAUUAGUUGCAAUCUUGUCCGCAAGGGCAGGAGCACUCUAAUGGGACUGCAGUAGUAAUACUGAGGAAGGAGUGGUCAACGGUAGAUCUGUAUGGCCCGAAUCUCUUGGGCUACACGCGGCCUACAAUGGUUAGGACAAUGAGUUCCGACUCCGAAAGGAGAAGGUAAUCCCCUAAACCUAACCCCAGUUCAGAUCGGGGCUUGAAACUCAGCCUCGUGAACGCUUGGAAUCCCUAGUAAUCGCGCGUCACUAUCGCGCGGUGAAUAAGUCCCUGCGCCUUGCACACACCGCCCAUCAAGCCAGCCGAGUAGAGUUCUGAUGAGCUGCUUUCUUCGGAGAGCAACGAUUCUGGAUUCUGCAAGGGGGGCUAAGUUGUAACAAGGUGUCCGUAGGGGAACCUGCGGACGGAUCACCUCC